rnacentral:rRNA from 1 species
UCGCCUACGGGAGGCUGCAGUGGGGAAUCUUGCGCAAUGGGCGAAAGCCUGACGCAGCAACGCCGCGUGCGGGAAGAAGGCCUUUGGGUUGUAAACCGCUUUCAGCAGGGACGAAACUGACGGUACCUGCAGAAGAAGGUCCGGCUAACUACGUGCCAGCAGCCGCGGUAAUACGUAGGGACCAAGCGUUGUCCGGAUUUAUUGGGCGUAAAGAGCUCGUAGGCGGUUCUGUAAGUCGAGUGUGAAAAAUCUGGGCUCAACCCAGUCGAGCACUCGAUACUGCAGUGACUGGAGUCCGGUAGGGGAGUGUGGAAUUCCUGGUGUAGCGGUGAAAUGCGCAGAUAUCAGGAGGAACACCAACAGCGAAGGCAGCACUCUGGGCCGGUACUGACGCUGAGGAGCGAAAGCGUGGGGAGCGAACAGGAUUAGAUACCCCGGUAGUCA